rnacentral:SRP_RNA from 10 species
ACCAGAUGCAGUAACAUGUGCCUAUUGUCCCAGCUACUUGGGAGGCUGGGGUGGGAGGAUCGCUUUAGCCCAGGAGUUAGGGCUGUAGUACGCUAUGCCAGUCGGGUGUCCACACUGAGUUUGGCAUCAAUAUGGUGACCUCCUGGGAGCAGGGAACCCCCAGGUUGCCUAAGGAGGAGUGAACCUGUCUAGGUCAGAAACAAAGAAGGUCAAAACUCUCAUGCAGAUCAGUAGUGGGAUUGUGCCUGUGAAUAGCCACUGUACUCCAGCCUGAGCAACAGAGUGAGACCCUGUCU